rnacentral:rRNA from 1 species
UACGAAGGGGGCUAGCGUUGUUCGGAAUUACUGGGCGUAAAGCGUGCGCAGGCGGUUGUGCAAGACAGAUGUGAAAUCCCCGGGCUUAACCUGGGAACUGCAUUUGUGACUGCACGGCUAGAGUGUGCCAGAGGGGGGUAGAAUUCCACGUGUAGCAGUGAAAUGCGUAGAUAUGUGGAGGAAUACCGAUGGCGAAGGCAGCCCCCUGGGAUAACACUGACGCUCAUGCACGAAAGCGUGGGGAGCAAACAGG